CAAAAUAAAGCGUGCGAUUAAAUCCGGAAUGUCACCUGAUGAAUCGUAUGUUUCGCAUUUGCCAUGGUUUAACACAGCCCACAGAUUUUUAAAGGAAGUGGUUAAUACCAGGGAACAUUUCUCAAAUCAUAGUUUGAUAAGCGACCAUGCCUUGAAUACGGUUUCAUCAAAUAAUCUUUCAGUGGAAAGGCAUCAUCUCCAACAAUAACCCCCCACUUUGGAAAUCCUACUGAUCCAUUUUCUAUUGCUGCCUUCAAUGAACUAUUCCUAAAAACCGUGCUGUCAUUUACACGUCCAUUAGAUCCAAUAUCAAUAUAAGUAAAACAGUAAUUGUGAUCAACUAAGGCGAAAAGUAUGGUGCUGAAAUAUCCUUUGUAGUUGUAGAAGUCACUGUGACUAUUGUUGGGACACUGUAUGUUGAUAUGCUUGCCAUCUAGUGCGCCGCAGCAUUUUGGAAACUGCCAUCUCUCUUCAAAACCUUUUGCUAUUGCUGCCCAAUCGUUUGUAGAUGUAGGCAUCUAAAAAUAGAAAAUUUACUUGUUUAGUUGCAAUAAUUUGCAUUUAUUUCUUUCAGUUUGAAGAAAUUGCUCAGUACUCUGGAGCCUCGCAAUUGGAGCAAGAGAACUAUGAUGAAACUGAAGUGGAGGCAACAUCAAAUAAAGGUGAAAUGAAUGUUAGCCAAUCGAAUACUCAAGAGUUGAAUAUUCAAGAAUCAGACACCCUUCGCACCACAUUGUCUUCACCAAUCAGAGAUUUAACCAGGAAGCGACCCAUGAACGACAGUACAACAAAUGUGCCAACAACUUCACAUGGCAGCAUGAAUCGAUCAGCGACACCAAGCAUUCCACGAAAGGCAAAACAGAAGGCGUCUAACUCAAAGGAUACAGUUCCCCAAUAUGUCACAAGUGCCAUCCAGUCACUGCAGGAUCUAAAACGAUCCACUGAAAGGACUGAAGAUGAAUUUUUUCAUUUCGGAAAUAAUGUAGCCAGCCAACUGAGGCAACUUCCACUAGAUCUUGCUUUGCAUUGCCAGUCCGAAAUUAUGGCACUGUUAGCAAACCAACGUGUUACGUCGUUGCAGAGGUCACAGUCAUUUGUCAAUCGCUCACAAUUUCAUUCUGGACAUGCUGAAACACCCAUUCCACGAUACUCCUCCGAAACUAAUAGUACAGAUUCUGGGGGGCAAUAUCAGUUUAGUGAUAGGAACUACCAACAUUCCCAAGAACCAGAUACUAUAACUGCUGCCAUCAGAAGUAUUGGUGGCUUUGAUGCAUUAAAUUAAUAAUGUUUACUUUCACCUCGUUCACAUGUACGUUAUAACAAUAUUAUGUAUUUUCAGUUGCUUGUUUUUUCUAAUACAUACUAGAAAUAAAGUUGA